CUGCAGGACGUGAUCCACUGAAGGGAUUUGAUGACCCUCACGCGGGUCUCAGGCUGCAGUUUGAAAAUCACCAGCCCCGGAGGGUGAGCGGAUGGAGGAGAACCGGGUCUUGACGACAAGGGCAAUUUUGCUAGUCGAACUCUGCCUUGGGGGACACGAGGGAUAAUGCAACGAUUCCACAUCCGACAUCCGGAUCUAGAGAGAAAUAGACAACCAACAAGUGGGCUGGCCACGCUGUGUUAUGCCGUUCACCCCUCACGACUGUCCUAUGGGGCGAGUACGAUCGUGGUCACAUUUUACAGAUAACACGGUUGAAGCUGAACUCACGCGGCAGAGAUGUGUUAACGGCACGGGUCUAUCCGGCUCCAAGUCUCGUGCUCUUUCCAUCACACCCCAUUGUCUAUCAGGGGACCUUUUCCUGCUCAACCCGAAAUUAGCCGAAGCAUCUGGGAUGGGUUUAGGGAUUCCAAGCGAGCACAGGUGCCGAGCAGAACUGGCCUUGCCAAUAAACAGAAGAGUCCGUACAAAGGGCUGGCCAGCAUGGGGCCUGAGGACACAGCUGUCUGUACAGUGUGAAAGGAAAACUUGCCAUGAUGAAUUAUAUUGAUGUAACAAUGAAAGAAUCGUUUUGGAAAGAAUUGAACUGUUAUUAAAACACAAAGGCACAUGAAUCGCUUCAACAUUGAUCUGCUCAGUGUAAUUUCUGAACUAGGCAGUAUUUUUUUUAACGUACGUUCUCAUUGAAGUUUGACAUAAGUAGAGAAGCUCACGCGGAGACCCAGCAUACGGCUUGAUGAAUUUUCUCAAAGUGAGCGCUAAGCCCAUGUGGCCGGCUCCUGGAUCAAGAAACACGCAUUUCGAGGACCCCAGAAGCUCCCCCUGGGCCCUCUGCCAGCUACCUCUCCCCUCCGUGAACCAUCGCCCGGGCUUCUGACACCUGAGAUUGGUCUUCUUUGUAGACGGAAAUUUUCUGAACAUUAUAGAAAUGGAUCGUACCGAGAUUUGUGGAUUGUACCGUACUAUGAGAUUUAUCCAUGAUGUGUAUGUAAAGUUUUGUUCAUGCUUAUUGACAUAUCGUAUUCCACGGUUUAUCCUGAGUGACUGUAUUGAAUGUAUGUGAAUAUACAUAGUAGAAUUCACCCAUAUUUCUGCUGAUGGCAGGUGCCUCUGAGGAGGCCCCCUGAGGAGCCAAGAGUAACGAAGAAGUUACUCGUAAGCAAGUCGUAAAGGGUUUCGUAAAGAAAACCGAGCACGUGGGGACUCCAAAAUGAAUUUGGCCUUCAUUUGGGCAAUAUUUAGUGAGUUUCUUCAAAGUGCCAGGCUCUGGAGGCGGUGCUGUGAACGCAGCGAUAAGUAACUAUUGUUCUUUUCUUGGCAAAACUCAGUCCAGCUGGAAGACAGUCAUGUAUAUAACCAGCAGUUACAUGACGUGGUAACAGACAAAAAAAAAAUUAAAAAAACAAAAAACCAAAAAAAAAAAACC